rnacentral:lncRNA from 1 species
GACAAUAAGUCAAAAUCGAUUUGUAUCUUACCCAGUUCCUCCCCCAUCGUAUCCUCCCCCAUCAUCGCUAGUCGCUACCUCCGUACCUCGCUCAAUCGCUGCCUGUCGGUCUCGCCAUUCACCACUGCAACAUCUGGUCACUGGAAAUCAGGCAUGUGAUUCUCCUGCUCUUUCUUCUCCUGUUCUCCCGUUCUACCAAUCUCUCAGAUUGAUCUAUUCUUGAAAUUGGAAUAGUAGAAUUAGGAAUUAGAAUUUACAAAUUUGAAAACUCCAUUCUCAUAUCCUGAGUUAGUUUAUGUUUUUGACUUAGUUGUCUAGUACUCUAGUUGAUGACCUGUUUAGCUCUUUAAGUAAUCAAGCUGUCGAGUAAUGACACCGCAGUAACAGAAAAAAAAAAGAUUGAUUUGGUUCUACUUCAUAGAAAAUCAAAGUGAAUGGGGGACCACGAUGUGCUGGAUUGUUAGAAAACUUCAUAUUGAAUUGGAGUGUGGGAUGCCUGCCAGUCACCACUGUCCAUCGUAGCUCCGCCGGUCACCACCGUCCACCUGCUGUUGAGCUGUUCUGCACUUCUGCUGUUCUUUCUGGUUCACAGAACUAAAGAAAAUCAGGUAUGCUCUUGAGUUAUCUCUCGUUCGGCUAUUAUGUCUUCUCUCUUUUCCAAUUCUACUGGAAAUUAGCGGUCAAUCUAUUUAGUCUUGAAACUUGAGUAUUGAAUUUGUUUCCUCCACUUCGCCAUUUUGCUUGUUGUUGGGAUUUGGUGUACAACUAAUUAUGAUUUUCACACACAUUUAAAUGGAUUUGUGCAGAAAAUUGCUAAUGUUUGUCUAGAAUGAAUUGAUUGAUGCGUAAUAUGAAUUGUUCCUCCAUUUGCUUGUUAUUGGAAUUUGGUAAUCAACUAAUUAGGAUUUCACACACUGUUAAAUGUUCUCUUUUGCAGAAAUUUGCUAAUGUUUUGUCUAAAUUUAGCUGACGAGUGAUGAGUGAUGAGCAUUGCUCUUGUUUACCUAAUAUUUGAAUUUCAUUGACCUAAAUUUGAUUUAAGUUAGAGGGCUGAUUUUGAAUGAAAUUUUCCUCCAUUUUGAUUUUUAUAGAUACAACCACGGUAAUUUUAGGUAUUUUGGUGCUUAAUUGCUGAAAAUUGGGUAACGUUAAUUUUAAGUUCUACGUUCAAGCUCUGCCCCUAGUCGUGCGAUGUAUAAAGGGGACGUUUAGCUAUAGUAACUUUACUUCACAUAAUAAAACUUACAUUUUAGUAGUAUUUAUAAUAUAUAUGAUGAGUAUAAUGAUAAUAAAAAUAAUAUUAAAGUAUCACUUAAUUAGUGAAAACACGCUAAAGGUCAUUAACUAAAAACAUUAAACGGUUUAUUUAAUGCAUCAAAAAAAGAAAAUUGGAUAAUCUAACUCGCAUAAACAAUUAUUUUAAUAAUAAUAACCAAAUUAUAUAUAUAUAUAUAUANNNNNNNNNNNNNNNNNNNNNNNNNNNNNNNNNNNNNNNNNNNNNNNNNNNNNNNNNNNNNNNNNNNNNNNNNNNNNNNNNNNNNNNNNNNNNNNNNNNNNNNNNNAGAGAGAGAGAGAGCGACCUAGAUUCAAAUGUGGAUUGACAUCUAUUGUGUGGACGUGUGGACAGUACUAUCAUGUGAUAAUGACAAAGAAAAUACGUUGUUUAAUAAUAUGAAUACAUUUAAUUUUACAUAACUAUUGUCAUUAUCACACAUUCUCACUAAUUAAAUCGUCUAUAAGGUUAUUAUAGACUUUGUAUUAUUAUUCUCAUUCUGUCAGAAUGUUUAUUGAGUCAUAUUCUGUAAGAAUGAAAAUGAGUGAAAAAUGAUGUGUGAGAACAAAAAUGAAUAAGAAUUGGUGAGAAUGCAUAAAAAUGGUGAAAAAUGACCACAAUAUCUGGAAUAUAGCAUUCCAGGGUAGCACUAUUCAUUUCGAAAUAUGUCUUCGUAUAUUUCGGAUAGACAAAGUCAAAACCAGAGUACGGUAGUCAACAUGUACAUAUAUAUGACAUUAAAAAAUGAANNNNNNNNNNNNNNNNNNNNNNNNNNNNNNNNNNNNNNNNNNNNNNNNNNNNNNNNNNNNNNNNNNNNNNNNNNNNAUAUAUAUAUAUAUAUAUAUGAAGAAAAAUGUUGUUAGUCACUUACUUCCAAUCAUCCGUAUUUAUUAGUUAUAACUGCUUCAAGAUGAGUUUCUCAAAUAGUGACCAGGAAAAAAGCUUUACCAACUUAUAUGUUUACUUACACAACAUUCGGUGGACCAACCUUCAUAGUUACAUCAACAUUAAAACUAAAGUGAUGGAUCAUUUCCAACUCUGCUUUGUGUUUAUUGCAUAUGUGGUAAAAUUAUUUUGUACCAUAUUUUAAUUGUUUCUUUGAAAUGUAUAAUGUUUCUACAAUUAAUUGGUUUUUUCCAAAAAAAUAUACAGCUUCAUGUAUCCAUAGGUUGUUUGUUGUCUGUCAUCUUUAUAGGUAGUGUUCUUCUAAGAUGGGACUACCUAAUGAUAAUGUUCAUAGCAUUUGCUAUGGAUGAAAACAACCAUACUCUGCCUAUAGCAUUUGGUAACGGUGUGACAAAUAAUGUUGACAAUUGUAUCUAGUUCUUGAUAUGGUUGAAGGAAGCUCACAAAGAGGAUAUGGAAGUAUCAUUUUUAACCAUUAUGGAUGAUGUCAUUAGUUCUUGCAUAGGUUAGGCAUUCCUUGAUUCUUAUCAUGGUAUUAUUCUAAGUUUGAGUUCAUGUAUUUGUGAACAGGAAUUAGUGGAAAUAGACAAUUGGAACAUUUGUACUUCUAUGCAUGCAAAUCAUAUACUAUGUCUGAUUUUCAACAAACACUCCGUUAACUAAGUCAUGAUGCAUGUAAGGUGCUUGCCAAAAUCGGUCAUGCAAAAUGGGGAAGAGUCUAUUUUUCUAACAUUCGUUGGAAUGUACUUAACAUUGAUAUUCUAGAAUUAUCCUAGUAUUAUCGGUUAAUCAAUGCAAUGUACCAAUAAUAACACUUAGUGAGGUAAUUAUGACAACAUCCAACAUACUUUUGUUGAACGCAUUCUCAUGGGAGGUAAAAUACCAAAAAAGAAUAUUGAAUUAUUUUUUACUUGAAAAAUAACCAUAAAUGAUAAUAUUUUACUUUUUAGGGAGGUUGACUAGCAAACUCAUCCCGUAUGUAGAGACGAUGCUUUAUAGGAGGAUGCAAAAGUGUGUUCGGUGGCAAGAAAUAAAUAUCCCACCCGAGAUACUGUCUUUGUUCCCGUCCAACGUUUUUUAAGUUUUUGAUUUUAAAACAACUUGUGUGGUAGAUCUGAACCACCACAUAUGUUCAUGUACGAAAUGGCGCAGUCUGGAUAUAGUGGAUAUAGCAUGCAGUCAUGCUAUUGCGGCAUAUCAUUAUUCAAACAUCACAUAUUUAGACGAUAUGGUUAAGGUAUAUUACCAAGAUGACGUGUUUCAAACUACAUACCAGACGCAAAAUACGCACUAUGUUCCCCUCCAUCUGAAUGGGAAAUACCGGACCCAUUGAUGGUUGUUUUAAUCUCUAUGUAACCAUAUAUUUAUUUUUAUCGUAGUUAAUUAUGUGUUUAAUCGAUUUGGAGUGACUAAUAAAAAUUAUUGUUGCCCUAAUAUUUUUACAAAUUACAAGAUGAAAAAACAUAAUUUAGUAAUAACCUAAAGUUAGUUGACCUACAAAUAAAAAAAAUACAUAAUUUAAAAUAGCAAGACAUUUUUUAAAAGAUCUCAAGCAUGUUCAUAUGGAAAAUAAACCAUGUUAUUUGUGUGUCUGUAUUCCACCUUUGCCAGCUACAAAAUUACUAGUUCAUCUUCAUGCAAUAAUUCGUUAUCAAUCUUGUGAUAAAGUUUGAUAAACUUCUUCACAUUGAUCAUAUGUUUAGAAACUUAGUCUUCACUUCUUUUUCAGUUUGAUACUCUCAAACAUAUAACUCAUAGUGAAACAUGUGUUCCAUUCCGACCUAACAUGAUACGUACAUGAGAUGUGGAAGAGUGAUGACAACUAUAUCAUCCUCAAUGGUUAUCCAAGUUUGAACGAGCACAAUUUCUUCUUCUAUAGUCCAUUGUUGGGGUUAAUUAACUUCCAUUCUGAAGCUAUAAAAGUUAUUGAGUUCCAAUCUCUUAUUUUAUUGGUCCAUUCCAGAUUAUAUGCCAUUCCGGACUAACAUUCUGGAAGUCAAAUUAAUCAAUAUGCCAAGUCAAAUCCAUCAUUUAUGUCAUAGAUUCAUGACUUUCUAAAAUCGUGAACACACAUUCCAGACACACAGUCACGAACAUAGAUUCUAGAGAUAUAUAAGGACAAACCGUUCUGGACUCCCCGUUCCGAACACACUAUAUUUUCUUACAACCUCACACUAUUAAUAUGAAUGUACCAUACCUCAUAAAUGCAAUACAUUUCCAAAGUAAAAUCUUGAGAAUGAGUUCAUCUAAUUUUGGUGUUUGGCAUUGAAAAAGAAGAUUGCUAUGUUUGUUCAGAUAUUAACCCGUUUCUGGAAGGGCCAAAUUUUCCACUCCAUGAUAAAAAGUCUUAUGACACUUUUGAAGCUAUGAUGGUUGGCGAAGAAGCCAACGAAAGGGACUCUGAAAUAAGUUGGACACUCAAUUCAUGUACAGAUAAUCUAGCAGAACAAGUAAAUGAAAAAGAAAAAUGGGUUAGUGAAACUAUGAAAAAUGUCAAAGAAGCUUAGAAGUGGAUUCAAGAUGCAAACUUGGAGAUUGAUAAGCUUAGGGCAGAACAUGACUGUCUAACAACUAUUGUUAGAAUUAGAAGCGAUUUUAUCGGCUGCAAACAAAAUAUGUAUCUCUUACAAUAUACUGAUUUGUGGAAACUAAUAUAAGUAUGUAAUAACUUUGGUAAUGAUUGUUUAACUAAUGUUAAUGAAAAGCAUUACCCUUUUGAUAACCCUGCCAUUUCUUUUACAUAAUUAAGUUUGAAAUAACUUUACAAUAUUUAAAAUUAGAGUACAUUGCCAUGAUAUUUGGGUAUUCGAUGCAAACUAGCAGUGUCAACAUUAUUUUGAAACAAGUCUAUGUAGAUCUCAAUUAGUCCAAACCCAUUAUCAAUCAUUUUUACUCAUUUUAUGUUGUUGCACUUGUCUUACGUGCUUCUUCGAUGAUGUUCAUUGUGUUCACAAAGUGUUGUACAUAUUUAGACAUCGACUUUAGUCUCGCUAGAAGAGAACCCAUCGAGAUACUUUCCUUUGUGACCGUUGGAAGGGGUCUUCCUCUUUUUCCCUUGCCUUGCCCGAUUGCGAAGACUGGAGCAAUAGUAGGAGUGGUAACAACAUUCUUACCUUUGAGAAUACUUUCAGCAGUCCUCAAAAGUAACUGAAGUUUGCUAAGUGUGACCUCCUCCUUGUUCAUAUGAUAGGUCAUGGAGAACUGAUCAUAACAUGGAGGUAAGGAGUGUAGAAUAAUAUCUAUAGCAACCUCAUCAUCAAAGUUCACAUUUAACUUAAGCAAACAGUCCACAAAUCUUUGCAUUUUCUGCAAGUGGGCCAUGAUGGACUCUCCAGCCUUCAUUUUUGUUGUUAUCCUGGAGGUGAUGAUUUCAUACCUUUCUUGUCGUGCACUCUGAUGGUAUCUUUCCAUCAGGUCUUGGUGCAUGUCAAAAGGGUAGAAGUCGUCAUAGGACUUUUGGAAUUCUGUUGUCAUUGUGGCCAACAUGAUGCAAGGUACCUUAGUGGCAUCCUUCUCAUGGGUAGUAUCCUCAGCAAUCUCCUCGGGAGUAGCAUACAACUCAUCGAUGACCUUAAGCACCUUGUUAAGAACAUAUUACUUGUCCUCAUAACGAGUGACCAUCCUUAUGUUCCUAAUCCAAUCAUUGAAAUUAGUUCCAUCAAAGAUGACUCUCCCACAAAGGUUCAUGAGAGAGAAAGAGCCAGUAGGGUUUGAGCCAGAAGCAACAUUGUUGGAAGACAUCUGAAAACGAAGAAAGACAAAGUUUAGAUUAGAUAUCGAUUCCUUAAUAUAACACCCAAAAUGAAAUAUUAAGGCUAGGACCCAACACAAUUUUUACAAUUUGGAAGAGUGAUGUCGUAAUCCAUGUUGCAAAAUAUUUGAAGGUAGGUAAAUGACGAUUUACCAAUUUCCACCAUGAAAAACAAAAUUGAAUUAUUAGGUUUUAGAUGAAUUAAAAUUCCUAUAUUCUUUUGAGAUUCAUUGAACUCUUCAAUGGCAUGUUUAAAUCUCGAUUAUGCCCUUCAAGUUUGUGACUGGGAUACCGAGGAUCACAAACAAGGUGUGAAUAACCAUACAAAUAUACUUAGGACUCUUAAUGUCAUUUAUCACCUAAUCGAUGUGCCAGUUAACCACACACGCUCCAUCGUCCAUGAAAAACAUUAGGCCACCCUUACUAAUCCAUGUUAGUGUGUCGGUUAACCACACACUCUCCACUAACGACUUGGUAAGGUGUAGAGUGUAAUUUUAUGGGUCAACAUCAAUUUCACAUUUUCCUAAAGUAACUAAGAUUGAGAAUUUAAAAAACAUUUAGUUACUUUAUAUCUAUCAUUAUACUUUUAAUGAGAAUUAUAGUCUUUGUCCUACCCGUUCGGCUAACGACCCUCCACCAAUCAAGAAAGCGGUGGGUGAGAGUGGACAUCCAUUAAACCACCAUUUUAUAGGCAGUAACCUUAUACCCCCCUUAUAGAUUAGCUUCGUGAAUGAGGCCUACUAAUAGUAAGACUGACUUGUUCUUAUAUAUAUAUAUAUUAUUAAACUUAUAAUACUAUAAUAAUAUAAGGGUUGAAUUUUAAACUAUUAAAAUUCUAGGGUUUGGAAUUAAAGUUUUAAUGUGUGACUUUACAAAUUCCAAAACUUGAGGGCAAGUUUUGAAACUCUUCAAAACUUUUCAACUUCAUAACAUAAGAGUUUAAUGGUCUUUUAAAAUGAGAAUCUUCAUUUUUCUAUAACCUAUGACUUUUAAUGAUUCAUUUAAAUGAAAAACUUUUGGAAUUCCAUAACUUGAGGACAAGUUACAGAGUCGAUUAAAAUAAUCAACAACAACAAUUCAACUAGAAGAAUGUUCAAGUUCUAGAUUAAACUCAUAUGAUCAACGUAAUUCAAAUCAAACAAAUUCCAUGUAAUUUAGACUAAUCAUACAAACUAAAACAAAGCAUGAAAUUUUGACAAUCACCUUUCAAAUGGAUUAACAUGAUCAUUACCAUAUCUUUAAAAAAACAUAUUUUUAUGAUUCAAAACAGUUUGGGAUAAUGAUCCUAUCCAUUUGGGGCCAAAAAAUCAUUUUUCUACAUUCUGACCAGCUAACUCGGUGAGUCUAUGAACUGGACUCGUCGAGUAGCUCAGUUUGUACAUGGAAUCGUCGAGUCCAUCAGUGGACUCGACGAGUUCAUUAGUCAGAGAGAAAAAAAACUCGAUUUUUUCAACUACAAACCACAAGUAGCAUCAAGUACAAUUGAAAGCAAGCCUAGGCUCUGAUACCACUGAAGGGUUUUGAGCAUUCUAACACUCCAAAGGUGUUCAUGCAACCCUAAAUACCUUGGAUCUAUGUUUUCACUAUUAUACAUGCAAACUUGAACUUUCCAAGGUAUUACCCUAACUAGCAUACAUAUUGAAUAAAACAAGUUAGGAAACAUACAGUUUGUUGUGGCUUAUUUCUUGGAACUUUAAGAGCUUAGCAUCAAUAAUGUGAAUGCCUCCAGUCGAAUCACCAAAUCACCAUCAACACUUUGGAAAUUUGGAAGAGAAGUAUAUUGCUCACAAAAAUGGGCCUCUCCUUGUCAAUAAACUAGGGUACCAUUUUCUUGAACCAAAGGGCUUCUUAUAUAGUGUGCAUAUUAGGGUUACACCAUGUAACUCAUGACUUUCCAUAUUCCUCAUGAUCCAUGGGUUUUAACCUCCAUGGAGCAUCCAUGGGUCACCACAUAGGUUAAGCCCAACAUAAGGAAUCAUGGAUCACUAGCCCGCAUUAUAAGAAUGAAUGAUUUACACAAUCAAUCCAUAUAUAUUUAAUUAGUCUUUUUUGACCACAAAAUUAAUUCCAAAUUAAUUAUUGAUCAAUACCAAUUAAAUAAUAUGAUUUCAUAUUAAUAUAUUAUAACUAAUAAUAUAUUAAUAAAUCAUACAUAUCCUCUUCUCAAAGUCCAAAUUGCUCCGGUGAAGUGCAAACCAAAUGUACCAUGCUAAAUCGGGUCAAGUACAUACCAAAUAUAGUUAUGGACUUAGACACCAUAUCCAACAUAUACACGUUCAUCAGAUAACAUAUAUGUGUGUGUAUGUUUAACCCCUUUCAAACUAAUAGUUAUAUGCCCUGAAAGUUCAAACAAUUCCUUGCCAUUUCUCAUAAUUUGAACUAUGAAAAGUGAUGUCGUAAUCAUAUUGUGAAUUUGAGAACGCAAUUAACACAACCACUAACCAUAAUGAUAUUUAUCUGAUCUUUUAUAUCUACCAGCGAAUGUGUUUCCUCAUAAUCAUUCUCAUGAAUUAGAGUGAAACCUUUUGCCACCUAGAUUUUAUGCUAUAUAAGUUCCCAUCCAUGUGAAUCUAUCAGUUCUAACCCACAAUCAUAAGAUAAAGUUUAAGAAAAAAACAAACUCAAAUUUAGUUUUCGCUUCAUGGACUAAACUUCGCUUAUUCUUAAUUUCUUGCCAUCUGGUAGCUUAAGGGUCUACCAGUGCUUCCUUGUUGUUAAGCAACUCACCUAUACUGAUCAAUGUACUUUCACUAACCAAUGUGCUUUGCCUUGGCAGUCAAGUGAGAACCAUAGAACUCAUAAGCAUUGUCAAUUUAGCUGGAAGGUGCAUAGAAACAAGAAUGUGUCAACUUAACAUGAUAGGUUAUCAACCUCAGGUCGUGUGCUAGUGAUAACUAAAAGGUUUAUUCCCGAUUGAAUCCUGAAAUUUUUUAAAGAUCAAUAAGACUCCCACUGAAUUCUUGGCAUAUAAUUUUCUCUCUUAAGGAACAUUCCUUGACAAGCUAAAACAAAUAUUCAAAAGUUAGUGUGGAUUCCCAACAAGAAAACACUUUAUAGAACUAGUGUUACUUUAUCCUUUGUUUUAACCAAAAACAUCACAACUUCCAAGUCCAAAUGUGCUAGAGUAAGAAAACAUAAUUACUCCACAUUUCACGAGGUGUUAUAAACCUACUUAGUAUGAAUUAAGCUUCAAGAUAUGAUUUGUAGUAACUAGACAUGGCUCUAAUACUUGAUUGGAAACGAAGUAUGAGUCAUCUCACGAUUGAACAAUUUCAAUAAUAUCAGCUUCCUCUCUUAGUCAUUCAAUUGCACUAAGAUGUUCUUCGAGGAUCAAUUUUGAUAUAGCUCUACAAUCAUUAAGACGAUCAUAAAACAUGAUAUUAAGUACUCUCAUUUCCUUUCAGAUUGGAGAAACUUUUAUCUUUCCGCCUAAUAGAUUCUUCAUAUUUGUUAUGUUACUCUUUGAACAUUUUAAAGCAUCAGAAUUAUGUGUAAUCUUAUAAACACAACUAUGUUUACCAAAACAUCAGUAAAUCAUGACGAAUAGAGUUAUCAUCCUUUGUGGUGGAUCUGAACAGUUCAUAUCAACAUGUACUAGAUCCAUUAGUCCUUCACUUUGUCUCACAUAAACAUGUGAUCAAUGAAUUAGUCAUAAUUUUCCAAUGAUCAAUAUUCUCAUAAAUCACACAAUUCAAAUUGUAUGACUCAAAGUUUCUAUCCAAUUGAAACUUAGGCGAUGAAAAUUCUUUAUCACUCUGUUAAUUAUGACAUUACCACAAGCGAUAAAAUAAGAAUCACAUUCCAAUUAACAUUGCUAAUAAUAGAAAUGUAACCAACACUUUCAUAAAUGUCAUUUUAAGGAAAUACAAAGUAAACCAACUAGAUAAAACAAAAUUUUCAGUUUUAUUGAUAAUAAACAAAAAAUUUGGAACUUGUAUUACAAUGCAUAAAAUGAAAUAUAUGUUUCUACACAUUUCCUAAGCAGUCUAUUAAAUUAUCAAAACUCUGAAGCAUCAGCUCCAAUUAAUUUCUGAUUAGUUCUUAAUUAAAUAAUACUAUUUCCAAUUUAAAAUGUUAUUCUCAUAAUAUAUUAACAAAUUAUUUAUUUUUAUUUCUAAUUAAUUUAUUAACCAAUAUAAAAAAUGAAGCAUCCUAAAAAUUUCAAUAAAAUUAAACUUUUCAAAACAGCCCAUUUAUUAAAAAAGUGUUUACAAAAACAUUGAUUCCCAAAAUAUGAUUUAAAAUCAGAGUCUCCCAAGAUCCAAUAUGUUGUAAAACCAAGGAUGUGUACGGUCACACCUUCGCCUUUCAACGAAUCAUCUAAAGAACCUGAAACCAUAACAAACUAUAAGCACAAAUCUUAGUGAGUUUCCCCGAAAGUACCAACACACAACUGACAACAUAUACAACAAACAACAUGCAUAUAGAGCCUUCAUCCUGUCUGGACCGCCUCACCGAGCCUUCAUCCUGUCUGGGUUGCUUACAGAACCUUCAACAUGUAUGGACCGCCUCACUAGGCCUUCAGCAUGUCUUGACCGUUCUCCGGGCCUUCGGCCUGAUUGGUACGCCCCACUGGCCUACUUCCUAUCCGGGCCACCAUGGGUCUGUUGACCUUCAGCACUAAGCAUGACCGCCUUAACCCAACCAUACAUACAAACCAUGUCGACAUAUACAUAACAAAUAAGCAUACAUAUAACAUACCGAUAUAAAUAUCACCAGGUUUGUUGACUGGCAGCACAAAGCAGUACAAUCUCAACACAAUAGCACUACAUCAACACAUGCGACUUGUAACAUAUAGCCAAAACAGAUAACAAGCAGAUAUAACAGAUCGCUAAGCAUAACAUCAUCCUAUCUACCAGGACACAGAUCUAACAGAUCACCAUAGUACUCAAUCAUAUGAUAAACCAGGAUAACAAUCCAAAGGGCUGACAUUGGUGCCUUCGACCUGAAAAUACAAUGAGGAAAACUCACCUCAUAAUGCUAAACCAUAAAGAUGAUUCUUGGCUACUGACUGCCAGAUCCCCGAACCGACAAUAUUAAGACAACACCCCCAUCAACAGCUGAUCCAAUGAAUAAUCUCUAACUGUAGGUCCGCUAUAACUCACGCGCUCUCCGAUACCAAAAUGACAACCCGUCAACAUCUAGCCAUUGACUCACACUAUGAGUCCAAUUUAGGGUAAAAGACCGUUUUACCUUUCCUUAAGCUUUGCCCAAAGCCAUGUCCCAAACUAGAUGAUAAAAAGGCUCAACAUCCAAAAUAAACAUCUAGGCCCAAAUAUGCCCUAAGUUUCCUAACUAGGCCCAAUUUUCCCAACAAGAUACAACAAACCAAAACUGAAUUCCAGAUGGCCCAACAUGGCCCAACACAACCUAGCCCAAAACGCACAAAGGCCCAAGUCUGCUGAGUAUGCGGGGCGUACUCAGCAUGUACGCUCUGCAUACUAUUUGGGAGGCUUGUACGCAUAUCGUACAUUCUUGUACGCCCAACGUACUCACCAACCCAAGGCUAACUUCCAAUUAAGUAAUUAAUCCAUUAAGACUUGGAUCCAAACUCAGAUCUGACUUCCCAAGGUGGUUAAUCACAUAAAGUUUCCACCUUUAUGUGCAUGCAUGGCUAAAUGGGACUCUAGAGCUUAAAAGAGCUUAAUACUUGACUUAAUACAUGCAUGAACCCAUAACCACCAUAAAUUUUGCACCUUUAUGCCCAAGGAACCCAUGAAACAACCAGAUCUACAAUUAUAAGCUUUAUAAACGACUUAAAAUCCCAAUCAUCAACCAAGAGAUGUUAAAAUGACCAAAAAUGAACCAAGAAUAAGAUAUAUGGAAUGAAAAGGAAAGUUUGGGACUUUAUACCUCCCAAGAUAUCAAAAGGAGGUGAAAUUGUGGGAUGUCAAAGCUUUCCUUCAAACAAUAAGUCUUUAAGUUCGUCAUUUAUCUUCUAGACCCACAAAAUGAACACCAAAUCCUCACCCAAGGCUCAAACAUCUAACAAUGGAGGCUAAGAAUCGAUUUUAUGGUUUCUAGGGCUUUAGACGCUGAUAAGGAGGCCAACCCUAAGAAAUAAGGGUGUUUAAAUAGGGUACACAUGAUAAAAAAUUAGAUUUUAGAUACCCCUCGUACGACCAACAUACUCCUCGUGUGCCCAGAGUACGAGGUUGAACCUUCGCGACCAAUACAGCUGACUACGUUAAGCGUACGCCAAAGUAUGCACAACGUAAAUGCCCUCGCAAGAGUACACCCUACAAAUAGUUUCAUUUUGUUUACUUUUUUUAUAGUUUAUUUUAGUAUAUUUCAUUCAUAUUUUAGUUAAUUUCCAAGCAUAUUUUCCUUUUUGUUAUUUUAUGACUAUUUUGGGCACACUCUAGUUUCUUGAGCAUCAUUGCCGGUUUUUGGAGACUAGCACAGCGAGAUCUAUCACAGAUGGGAUAUUCUAGAACUAGAAAAGCCUAAACCCUAACCAAGUACUAGUGUAAACCGCAUUGCAACCUUGAAGCAUUGUGUGAUCUAUAGCCUUAGGAGCAUGUUUAUAAACUAGUAACUAAGUGCGGUUAGAAACCUAAGUUGAUUUAGGUUAGUAUAAAUCAAUUUUAGGCAAAAGAUUAAACUUUAAACCAUGAAAUAACCCACCAUAUAUUAGUUUUCGGUCCAAGGAUGCAAAGAUCUUCUAGUUUGCGGUCCUAAAAUUCUAAAGCAAUUAGGAUUUCGGCCAUUUGAAUCAAACAAAUGGGUUUUCGGUUUUGCUAGGGCCGAAAACUCAUUUUGAGGCCCAUUACGGACCGAAAUCUCCUUUGAUUUUGGUGGAACUUUGGCCGCAAACCCCUCUUAAAUAUCUAGAUAUCUUAUCUUAAUUUAGCUUCCCAAGAUGAUAUAAUACAGUUACCAAUGUAACCAUCCUAUCAACCUCUUAUCCUUCCUUCCUAUUUAAGAUACAACAUAUAGAUUAUAUUCAUUUUACACAUCCAGUGAAAACGAAAUCCCCUAAAUCCCUCUCAAAUAUCAAACUUCUUUUUCCUUCAAAGAUCAAGUUUUCCCUAGGAAACAUUUAUUCUUCAACCUUUCUUCUUAAGUAACACAAUAAGUAUUUCUUCCAUUCAUUAAGUGUUUAUUUCAUGUUUUCAAUAGUUUAAGUAACACACACUACAAAUCGUGUGUUAAAAUACUCAUAGGAUACGAUCACUUUCCCGUAUACUAGCUCGAAGUCACUAUUUUAGCUCAUUAUCUAAACCGCGACCACACCUAAGGUGAGUUCAUACCCCCAUAUUUUUCCAAGAUUUUUCAAUGUUUUUAGGGGGGAAUACAAGUAAAAUUAUAUAAAUCUUGUGUUUAAGAAUAUAAAUUCCUUAUUAUAUUUCAUACCGUUAAUAUGCAAUUAAACGUGAAAUUAUUUAAAUACGCAAAGCAUCGUUACUAUUAAAUUUACAAAGAUUUAGAAAACAUGUUAAGACGCAAUGGUUUUCACACCAAUGGAACAAACAUAUAAACUAUAAUAGGUAUAGUUUAUGGAUUAUACGUGCUAUUUUACAAAGUUCAUAACAAAAUACGGAAAACUUACGGUUUAAACUUUUGGUAUAGUUGGGGAACAUACAUGUUAUUUUUACUCUUUUUUAGUCAAAGAAUGAUUACAUAAAAUUACGAUUAUUUUAUAUAGUUUAAACAUUAAAGAAGGAUAAUACAAACAUUAACAAGGAAAAAGGAAACUUGAAUACAAUUUAUGUAAACUAGUUAAUACAGGAUUGUGAGCCACUUGCUUCAUUGUACCAAACAUGGUACCCUUUAAAGUCCUAAAUUAUAACUAGACUCUCCCGGAGGGAGAGCGUGAGUUCGUGUAUAGAUCUAUACAGCACUGACAAUCCCGCACCUAAGUUGCUUGCAAUAGCUAGGCCGACAUGCCUGGGGUGACAAAUGUCAUAACUUUACGACGCCUAAAGAACGUCGGGUAGCCAUUAGUCAUAUUAGUAUGGUUAUAAUGAACUCUCACAAUAAGCAUUAACUAAAUAUUUACGUAAUUGUAUAUUUUUAAACAAUCUUAAAGGGGUAUUAACUCUGUGAUUACUUAGCAUAUACGUUAGGGUUAUAUAAAAUUUAUGUCCGGGAGACAGUGGAAAGUGUGAUUUUCGCCUAUCUUCAUGUUCCUUGUUUGGUUGUGGGCUUAGGGUAGAUUCACCCAUUCGACGGCCUGUUCGAUCUCGAUUUUAUAUAACUCGUAUGUACUAAUUGAUCAUAGGAGGGUAUUAACAUCACAUCUAGUUUAUAGUGCACACACGUAUUCAGCUAGUUUUACUUAUGGAUAAAACUAUAUAUCACUAAAUUAAGCACGACAAUUAUACUUGUACUUUUCGGUCUCGGAACGUUUAAGAUUACAAUUCGGUUUUAUGGAAAGUAUAGGAUUUUCUGGAACAAACAUCAUUAUUUUACAAGCAAAUAGUUUACAAUUUAACUUUUGAGAAAAAAAUACGGUUACAUACCGAAAACAAUACAUUACAUUAGAGCGAGCGGAACUAAGAACAUAUUGACAAAAGGUUCAACACUUAUUUACAAAAUAGUAUAACAUAAGGACCCUCAUUUGUUAAUUCUAUGGUUCCUUAGUUUAUACAUCAGAGUUAUAUAUAAAUAAUAUCCGAUAGAUAGUGGAAUGUUUGAUUUCCGCCUCAUUUCUUGUUCCUUGUUUGGUUGUGGGUUCAAGGCAGAUCCACACAUUCAACUGUCGUUCGAUAUUAAGGAACCAGUUUUGUCACAUUUAUUAUUAAGAAAAUGUUGGGUAGCGUAGGACUUUAUUUUUGUGUUGCGUCAUUGGGCUCGGUUUAUAGUCCAGUUUUGCACUCCGGUUUGGGCCUGUCCAACCGUGAGCUUGUAGGGUUUACUAUAUAAUAAUGUGCUUGCAUGCAUAUUAGGUAAACGUUGGAUAGAUCGAUUGAUAGCAUUACGUUAGAUCACAUAAUACUUUCUUUCAUCGUUCCUGUAAACCUUUUAAUCCUCUACAGUUGUAGUUCUUCAUCGAGCUCUUAUGAGGAUUGUUUAUAAUCAUUCGACAUUGUUCGAUCCAUUCUUGAUUUGUUUACUGUUUUCGUGUUCUUGCUGUUUGCUCUUUAUUUUACCUAUUUAAGAUCUAAUCGAUCUUCAAGUUAGAUUUUUAACUUAUCAAUUGGUAUCAGAGCAGGAGGCUGUCUAAUCGAUACACUUCUUUUCUGUGAAAAAGGUCUCGAUUAGGGUUAUUCCGCAAUUACUGAUAUUUAUUGAGCCGUCAUCUUAAUUGACGUAUCUUAAUAUUUAUUGUUUUGCCCUAAUUUUAUUUAUUACAAGUCUGAUCUUUGAACAGGUUAUUUGAUCAUUAUGGACGAGUCGCAAUCAAAUCCCAUCAAUAUUUCGAAUAGCAUUGGAUCAACAACAAAGAUUCUCAUCCUGUACACCCAUGAUUAUGAAGUCUGGGCGCAUCACUUUGAAGAUUAUGUUAUAGGAUCUGAG